rnacentral:lncRNA from 1 species
AUAAAGCCAAUUUUAUUUUUAGCAGUCAAAGCAACAAUCAUUUUUCUUCUCUAUCUCCCAAAACCAUCACCUGAGAAGGGUGUGGGAACGAGAGAUACCCCAGGAACAUCAGAGGAGUAUAGAAAUAAAGGACUUGAAGAGUCCAAAAUACCAGUGUUGGUGGUACCAGUAUUGGUGUUAGCAGCCAUGAUAUAUCAACAAGGAAGAACAGAUUCAGCAACCAAAAAUGUAACCAAUCAAAUUGCUACACACAAAGCCACACACAAAGCCAAAUAUUCAAACACAAAACCAAAAUCGAUAUACACAAACCAGAUGCACAAUUUUAAACCAAAGUUACCCUCCUUCUUCGCUACCGGAAGAAGAUCGGCCUUCAAAUAGCA